GCGGUGGUAGCUGAGUCGGGUAAGCGCGCGCUUCUCACGCAAGAGAUGCGGGUUCGAAUCCCGGCGCUGACAUGUA
rnacentral:tRNA from 1 species